GAUGAAGAACGCAGCGAAAUGCGAUAAGUAAUGUGAAUUGCAGAAUCCAGUGAAUCAUCGAAUCUUUGAACGCACAUUGCGCCCGCCAGCAUUCUGGCGGGCAUGCCUGUUCGAGCGUCAUUUCAACCCUCGACCUCCCUUUGGGGAAGUCGGCGUUGGGGACCGGCAGCACACCGCCGGCCCUGAAAUGGAGUGGCGGCCCGUCCGCGGCGACCUCUGCGUAGUAAUCCAACUCGCACCGGAACCCCGACGCGGCCACGCCGUAAAACACCCAACUUCUGAACGUUGACCUCGAAUCAGGUAGGACUACCCGCUGAACUUAAGCAUAUCAAUAAGCGAGGA
rnacentral:misc_RNA from 1 species